rnacentral:rRNA from 1 species
GACGAACGUUGGCGGCGUGCUUAACACAUGCAAGUCGAACGGAAAGGCCCUGCUUUUGUGGGGUGCUCGAGUGGCGAACGGGUGAGUAACACGUGAGUAACCUGCCCUUGACUUUGGGAUAACUUCAGAAAACUGGGGCUAAUACCGGAUAGGAGCUCCUGCUGCAUGGUGGGGGUUGGAAAGUUUCGGCGGUUGGGGAUGGACUCGCGGCUUAUCAGCUUGUUGGUGGGGUAGUGGCUUACCAAGGCUUUGACGGGUAGCCGGCCUGAGAGGGUGACCGGCCACAUUGGGACUGAGAUACGGCCCAGACUCCUACGGGAGGCAGCAGUGGGGAAUAUUGCACAAUGGGCGGAAGCCUGAUGCAGCAACGCCGCGUGCGGGAUGACGGCCUUCGGGUUGUAAACCGCUUUCGCCUGUGACGAAGCGUGAGUGACGGUAAUGGGUAAAGAAGCACCGGCUAACUACGUGCCAGCAGCCGCGGUGAUACGUAGGGUGCGAGCGUUGUCCGGAUUUAUUGGGCGUAAAGGGCUCGUAGGUGGUUGAUCGCGUCGGAAGUGUAAUCUUGGGGCUUAACCCUGAGCGUGCUUUCGAUACGGGUUGACUUGAGGAAGGCAGGGGAGAAUGGAAUUCCUGGUGGAGCGGUGGAAUGCGCAGAUAUCAGGAGGAACACCAGUGGCGAAGGCGGUUCUCUGGGCCUUUCCUGACGCUGAGGAGCGAAAGCGUGGGGAGCGAACAGGCUUAGAUACCCUGGUAGUCCACGCUGUAAACGGUGGGUACUAGGUGUGGGGUCCAUUCCACAGGUUCCGUGCCGUAGCUAACGCUUUAAGUACCCCGCCUGGGGAGUACGGCCGCAAGGCUAAAACUCAAAGGAAUUGACGGGGCCCCGCACAAGCGGCGGAGCAUGCGGAUUAAUUCGAUGCAACGCGUAGAACCUUACCUGGGUUUGACAUGGAUCGGGAGCGCUCAGAGAUGGGUGUGCCUCUUUUGGGGUCGGUUCACAGGUGGUGCAUGGCUGUCGUCAGCUCGUGUCGUGAGAUGUUGGGUUAAGUCCCGCAACGAGCGCAACCCUUGUUCACUGUUGCCAGCACGUUAUGGUGGGGACUCAGUGGAGACCGCCGGGGUCAACUCGGAGGAAGGUGGGGAUGACGUCAAGUCAUCGUGCCCCUUAUGUCCAGGGCUUCACGCAUGCUACAAUGGCUGGUACAGAGAGUGGCGAGCCUGUGAGGGUGAGCGAAUCUCGGAAAGCCGGUCUCAGUUCGGAUUGGGGUCUGCAACUCGACCUCAUGAAGUCGGAGUCGCUAGUAAUCGCAGAUCAGCAACGCUGCGGUGAAUACGUUCCCGGGGCU